rnacentral:rRNA from 2 species
AGAUAAGUGCUGAAAGCAUCUAAGCACGAAACUUGCCCCGAGAUGAGUUCUCCCUGAGACUAUAAGUCUCCUGAAGGAACGUUGAAGACGACGACGUUGAUAGGUCGGGUGUGUAAGCGUAGCGAUACGUUGAGCUAACCGGUACUAAUGAACCGUGAGGCUUAACCUU